CAUAACUGCUAAACUAUAGGACUUCUAUGUUGACCUUCUCUUUGUCCUCUUUGUUGGCUAUAUUCAUAGUGUCAGGUUAAAAAAAGCUGAAAACCAAGACCAGACCAGAACCACUACAAGCCUUUAUUGUAGGGACAAUCUGCCAGGCUGUCUCUGAUCAAAGGAGAGAAAGCAAUAUGGCUGAGAUAGGGCGCAUUUCUUGUAGGACUGGGGUGCAGCUCAUAGGAGCUGGGGUGGGAUUGAGUGAUGUAGUGGCUAGAGAUUGGGGGAGCUUGUGACAUCACUAAGAGAGGCUUGUGUCAUCACCAGUCACCAGGAGGUAGCAAGUAUCAAGUUACUUUUUUGGCAGGAAAAGAGACAUCAUGGGAAGAAGAAGGCUGUCCUUUAGAGGGAGAAGCCAUAUUUUUAGACCAAGAUAUUGAGCUGAACAUGGUGACAUACGCCUGCUAUCCCAGCAGUGAGGAAGGCUGAGGCAGGAUGAUCACAACUUGAGCCCAAGCCGGACACCUUGUGAGUCCUUGUCUCAAAAUAAAAAAUAAAGGGGGGCUAGGGAAGUA
rnacentral:lncRNA from 1 species